rnacentral:tRNA from 1 species
UCCCUGGUGGCUCAGAUGGUAAAGCGUCUGUCUACAAUGCAGGAGACUUGGGUUCGAUCCCUGGGUGGGGAA